AAGACUAUAGACCUGCGGAGUACCUGCGGAGGGAUCAUUAGAAAGAUCGAACAGAAUAUGGACGAUCAAAAUCCAUAUCCACCUUGUGUGCACUCAUUGACCGUUCGCUUUGGCAGGAAAAAAGGAGCCUUCGAUUUCCGGAGGUACACCGAGGCAUCUCUUCUUCUCUCCUUCCCGGGAGGUUUAAAAAAUGGGGGAUGACCUGCCAGAGUUUUUUCUUUCCGAACUUCACGCGUCUCU
rnacentral:misc_RNA from 1 species